rnacentral:rRNA from 1 species
CCUGAACGCUGGCGGCGUGGCUAAGACAUGCAAGUCGCACGGAUGGAGCAAUCCAUCAGUGGCGAACGGGUGAGUAAUGAAUCGCUAAUGUGCCCCGGAUUCUGAGAUAGCCAGCCGAAAGGCUGGGUAAUAUCAGAUGAUAUAACCGAACCGCAUGGUUUGGUCCUCAAAGGAGUAAUCCGCUCUGGGAGCAGGCGAUUUCGUAUCAGCUAGUUGGUGAGGUAACGGCUCACCAAGGCGACGACGCGUAGCCGGACUGAGAGGUUGGCCGGCCACAUUGGGACUGAGACACUGCCCCAGACUCCUACGGGGGGCUNCAGUAACGAAUCUUCCGCAAUGCACGAAAGUAGUGACGGAGCGACGCCGCGUGUAGGACG